UACGUAGGGGGCAAGCGUUGUCCGGAAUCAUUGGGCGUAAAGAGCUCGUAGGCGGUCUGUCACGUCGGAUGUGAAAAUCCAGGGCUUAACCCUGGACCUGCAUUCGAUACGGGCAGACUAGAGUUCGGUAGGGGAGACUGAAAUUCCUGGUGUAGCGGUGAAAUGCGCAGAUAUCAGGAGGAACACCGGUGGCGAAGGCGGGUCUCUGGGCCGAUACUGACGCUGAGGAGCGAAAGCGUGGGGAGCGAACAGG
rnacentral:rRNA from 1 species